rnacentral:piRNA from 1 species
AUUACAAAGCCAAACAUUCAGAG